ensembl:lncRNA
GCUCUCCUACGUCGUUGUAAUCAUUGGUUUUGAGGCAACUUAGGACGACUUAUACACGUUGUGUAUUUUAACAUACUUCUUCCUGGAACUUUGAGCUGUAGAAAAUUUCAGCGAGUUUUAAGGCUUUUUUUGUUUUUGUUUUUGUUUUCCCUUACAGAGAGCCUAUUCUCUCCAGAAACCUAGGCUGGCCUUAGAAAAAUGAUUUGGUACUGGAGUGAGUAUCCCUGAUGAUGCAUCUCGUGUUUUUAGGCAAAGCUAAAUUAGAAUCUUCUAGACAACUUUGUGUACUCUGGGUGUUACCUUGCUUUCUUCGUUGCUCCUUUUGUGUCACACCAGUUUUUUCAUUUCCCGAGAAUGUGUUAAUAAGGCAGUGACAAUGUCUAUUUCCACAAAUUUGGGGCGGGCUCAUCAUUUAUUGGACCCAUUGGUUAAGUUGUCAAACCGGCCUUUUGACUGGCCUGCUUUUGUUGAACAAUGACCUCUUGGCCAUCAGCGGUCAGUCUACUUUGUGUGGCAGACAGAGACUUAGUUAUAGAAGAGAAAAGCAAUGGUCACACCCUCAUCUCCCCAGGUUAUUACAGAUUUCUAAAACCAAGGACCACUUUGUUUUGGCUGCAUUCCAACCCCAGUGCUUUGGAACUUGACAUCAAAGGGAUUGUUGAAUUUGCCUUAUUACUGUCUCAAGAACCUUUUAAACGAGCAUUGUAGGAAGAUUAAGAAAUGAUAACUUAUUCUCCUCCUUGGCACAACAUCCAAGUGUGGGUUGUUUUUUCAUCUUUUCUUUGGGACACUCCAGUUAAGUCCAUUCCAAAGAAGAAAAGGAAGAGUUCCUGUUACUCAGCUGAGUUCCCCUUAGAAGGAAGUGAGCUUUUAGACUGUGGCACCGGGGCCUUCCUUUCGUUCACACACGUGGUGACAAAAUGCUUCCCUCCAAGAAAGGACCCUGUGUUUGCUGCCCGUGGGAUCAAUGCCCUCUUCCCAGGCACUGGCUCUGCUCGAACGCCCCGAUGACAACACACUCAGCUCCCAGACUAUAGCGCCGACAACAAAGGGAAGCAGGUCCCAGUAUGUAGAGCGCACUGGAAAACCCAGCUCUCCGUGCCCUUUCCCUGGAGGUCAAGACACCCUUGGCCCAAACUUCUGAGUGUUUAUUCUCUCCUUCCCACUUCCCAAGGUCGCUUUAGCAUGGAUUUGUGUUCUCAAAACAUGGUAUUUGCCUGUAUUUACCUACAACGAACACUCAAUAUAAGACCGAAGUAAAGGGGGCCAGCCCGGUGGCACAGUGGUUAAGUUCGCACGUUCUGCCUCUCGGUGGCCUGGGGUUCGCCGGUUCGAAUCCCGGGUGCGGACAUGCCACCGCUUGGCACACCAUGCUGUGGUAGGCAUCCCACGUAUAAAGAAGAGGAAGAUGAGCACAGAUGUUAGCUCAGGGCCAGGCUUCCUCAGCAAAAAAGAGGAGGACUAGCAGGAGUUAGCUCAAGGCUAAUCUUCCUCAAAAAAAAAAAAGUUAAAAAAAAAGACUGAAGUAAAUUGGGAAGGAGAACUAUUCAUUAAACAUACACACGCAAAUUUUAUUGACUAGAAAUUAAUGUUCCCCAAAAGGAAAUUGCAGUCUUAGUAGGUUAACUUUAUUGUUGGAAUGAUUAGCUUUGACUAACUCCCAAGAUUAAGUUUCAACCUAUUUAGCAGAGAAGAAAAGUUAUGGUGCAACAAGUGUAAAUAACAUGCUAUGAAAUUUCAUCCUAACUUUUUCAAAAGCAGGUCCUUCCAAAGAGCUGUCAGUAAACCAUGUAGGAAGGAAGACAAGUUUAUAGAUUCUCUUCUGUCUGGAAGAAGUGAGAUGUCAAGCUUUGCGAUGGUGUCAGGCUGCCAUCUAAGAUUUGGCAGAUCUGGCUGUUAUAACCUUUAAUUUUCAGAAAAUGUAAACAUUAAAGAAACUGACUAUUCAGUAGACACCUUGUAGCAGCAAGACUAAUAAUUGACGGUACACUAAAAAUUUGUAACUUCUAAAAGAGCCAUGUAUUUCCACUCUACCCUCUGUUAACCUGGCUUAUGUUUUUCGACUUAUUGAAGAAAAUCAGUACCAAAAAAUUUGAUAUUAAAAAUGAUGAAUUCAUUCAAAAUGUUGGUUAAGUCCUUGAAAUGAAAGACCAGUCUAAAUUACCACACAGUAAUGUGAAUGUGACAGAUGACUAACAACCGAGCAUAUGCAAUGAGGCCAGUCAAGGGUGAUUAAAAACAGUAGUCAAACCCAAAAAUAUGGUCAUGCAUCAUUUUGUGAUGGGGAUACAUUCUGAGAAACACAUCGUUGUGUGAACAUCAUGGAGUGUACAUACACAAACAGUGGUGCAGUCUACCACACACCUAGCUGUGUGGUACUAAUCUUAUGGAGCCACAAUCAGAUAUGAGAUCCAUUGUUGACAAAAACAUCAUUAUGGAGCUCAUGGCUGUAGUUUCACAUCCACCGUUACCCAUAACCUAUCAGGCUGGCUCAUUUGAGGUGGGAAGAAAUUGACUAUCAGCCCUGAAGCAGUGAGAACUCAAGAGUCCAUCUGUAACUAAGUUGUCAACUCUCUAGUGAUAGAAUUUUUUUUUUUUUAAAGAUUUUAUUUUUUACUUUUUCUCCCCAAAGCCCCCCAGUACAUAGUUGUAUAUUCUUUGUUGUGGGUCCUUCUAGUUGUGGCAUGUGGGACGCUGACUCAGCAUGGUUUAAUGAGCAGUGCCAUGUCCGCACCCAGGAUUCGAACCAACAAAACACUGGGCCGCCUGCAGCGGAGCGCGUGAACUUAACCACUCGGCCACGGGGCCAGCCCCUCUAGUGAUAGAAUUUUAUGCUUCGUUUCCUCUAUAGCACCCAUGAGAAGGCCUUGCCUAUUGUAGGCACUAAAUUAACUUGUUUUGAUUUUAUAUCUUCGAUGGAAUUUAAAGAUGGGCAGCUGAUGGUCUAAGAUUGAAUGUAACAGAGAGCUCUUGGGUCUAGAAGCUGGGUUAAGGGAGUCUUAGGCUAAGAGGAAUGGAAUACAAAUAACUAAAGCAAUGAAUGAACAGUCACUUUUUCUAUAUGUAGUUGUCCUAAUGGUUUAAAUGAUAGUUUAAAAGAAUAUGUCAAAAGCCGAAUAGCACAUGAGAAACCAAGAAACAGGUUUUUAAAAGCUAACCGAAGGUGUGUCUACCUAUUUUUAGAAUAAAAAUUAGCAUUUGAAGUUCAAAAAAAAAAAGCUGAAUAUCCUGUUUAAUGGCUGCAUACAUACAUUCAUUUCAUACAUUUUGGAAAACCAACUUAUUGCUGAAGUUUCCAAAAUACGUAUAUACCUUAUCUUUUCGAAGACCUGCCAGGGUGUUAUCAAGCUAUGGGUUGGGGUUUCAAAGCUCCUGCACCAAAGGCUCUGUGUUUUCUUUUCAAGGCAGUCAUAGCGAGUUUAUUACAUGCAAUUUGGAGACUAAGAUAAUAUACCUCUAUUGUAUCUACAUGUUCGCGC